AUGAACUCAACUUGCUUUUGGGAUCUCUUAUUUAGUGAUGGCUUUGGAGAGAUAUUGGUACAAAUGAUAAUCAAGUAAACUGGGAUUUCUAAAUCUUGCAGUGAACUAAGAUGUAUGCUGAACUAGGAGCAGCACAUCCGUCAGAUUUCAAGUUUGUUGGACUAGUGAUAGUUGGGUAAUAGAAGUAUUGUCCCAACCAUAAUUUGAUUGCACGAAGAGCUUUUGGCAUCAAUGAACUGGUACCGCAGAUCGACCAAGGGCAAUCCCGCAGCAGGUGGAAACCAGCACGGCAGUUUCAUCCAUGCUCCAGAUUCUUGUUGUCUAGUGAACCUUUGGUUUCUGCUAUACCUUUGGUGGAGCUAGACGGUAUUAACGUGAUCUGCCUUUCAGCAACAAAUUCCAAUGAUUAAUACGUGGAAGGCUAGAGCAUUUAACAACACCUACAGAUGUACGUACACGCAACUUCUUCUUCAGUCGACAAUGCUAACUUAUGGUGUGUCGAUAGCUGGAGAGGGUGUUUUUGAAGAUCUGCGUGGAUUCUUAGAGCUUGUCAAUGUUCCGGUGUAAGUUAACUAUAUUACAAAUAUUUAAAUUUGUGUAACUGAUCUUCAACCUUAGCUUUGGAGUGGCAUGUCCCAUGUAAUAGGCAUGCUUUGUAUUGUGGUUUGGUCGAAUUUUGUAUGAGAUUUUGCCUACAAAAUGAUAUAUUGUAUCUUCUACCUGCA